GUUGACCUCGGAUCAGGUAGGAAUACCCGCUGAACUUAAGCAUAUCAAUAAGCGGAGGAAAAGAAACCAACAGGGAUUGCCCCAGUAACGGCGAGUGAAGCGGCAACAGCUCAAAUUUGAAAUCUGGCCCCAGGCCCGAGUUGUAAUUUGCAGAGGAUGCUUUUGGCGCGGUGCCUUCCGAGUUCCCUGGAACGGGACGCCAUAGAGGGUGAGAGCCCCGUACGGUUGGACACCAAGCCUUUGUAAAGCUCCUUCGACGAGUCGAGUAGUUUGGGAAUGCUGCUCUAAAUGGGAGGUACAUUUCUUCUAAAGCUAAAUAUUUGGCCAGAGACCGAUAGCGCACAAGUAGAGUGAUCGAAAGAUGAAAAGCACUUUGAAAAGAGGGUUAAACAGCACGUGAAAUUGUUAAAAGGGAAGCGCUUGUGACCAGACUUGCGUCCGGUGAAUCACCCAGCUCUCGCGGCUGGGGCACUUCGCCGGCACAGGCCAGCAUCAGCUUGCCGUCGGGGACAAAAGCUUCAGGAACGUGGCUCCUCUCGGGGAGUGUUAUAGCCUGUUGCAUAAUACCCUUCGGCGGUCUGAGGUACGCGCUCCGCAA
rnacentral:rRNA from 1 species